rnacentral:lncRNA from 1 species
ACAAAGAAGCCAUUUUGCAUUUAGUUAAACACCAAAUGCCUUAAAUGAAGUCUUCAAGUUUAAUGUUAAAAGAUACCAAAUCAUAGAAUUUCAUUAGGAAGACUACAAGUUAAAUGUAUCUCUGGAGGGAUAGACAAGAAGCUGAAAAGAUUACCUCAACAGAGGAGAAUUAGUUCUACAGGCCUGGGUUGAGGACUAUUCUCAACAAGACAGUCGGAAUAGUUCAGGCUCUCUGUGCUCCUGGCUGAAUCUCUAAGGUGGCACAUUCUCUCUAGUUGUAAACAUUCUAGUGUAUAUUCUUCCCGACAUUUUUCUCUGCACACGAAGAUAUAAAUCUAAGAAAAACAGCAGCUUAGGGGUAACAAGAAAUAAAUGCUAAGUGGCCCCAGGAGGAAGUCAAUUUAACAUCUGCAUAUUUUAUUUAACAUAUAAUUAUUUUAAUUAGUGAACCUGGGAAGGACUCAGAGUGCCGAUGGUGUAUUUGAUAUACAUCAGCCUAUUUCCUUGUUUUCUAUUGAACUUCAACCACUCGAUGGAACUUCUUUACACCACUGUUUAAUUGCUUCAUUAUUCCAGUGAGCAGGCAAGGCUGAAGAGGAGGAAUUCUGGAAGCUGGAAUAAAGAAUUUAUAUUUGUACUGCUGUGUGCUUAGCCUCUGGUUCUGGAAGACCUUUCCACCACACCUCUUCUGAAAAAAAAAAAAAAAAAAAAAAAAAAAGAAAGAAAGAAAAGUGAAAAUAUCUUACUGUUGGCCUGGAGGAAACAUGGAUCUAAAAGAAAUCCUCGAGAACUAGGAAACGUAUGAUUUUUCUCGCGAAGAAUGUGUAUGACGUUG